CUGAGCUUUAGACAGAGUUUUACACAAACGUUUGGCUGGUGGUGACACAUUAGUGAGCAAAUAUUAGCCAGAAGCUACAGCAAUGGAUUAGAACUGCAAGGCUGAACUAGAAUGAGAAAUGCAAAUCUGUGUUCAGGCAAAGUUAUUGCUCAGCUGCAGCAGCACCGAGCUGGAAUUAAUAGAGACUUUUCAUGUUAUUGUGUAAGACUUGUGACAUUUCUCCCCAGGGCUUUUGGCAUCUUUGCAGAAGAUCCAGUGUGUAACUGAUUUCUCUGUCCCAAGGAAGCUCUGAGGUUUUGGGUGAUACACAGUAGAGAAGCAUGGCUGGUCAGUUCUGGCACUGCCACGCUCAGUGGGCUGUGUGACAGCUGGUUCCAGGAUAGCUCUGGGCAAGGCACUUGGAGGAGACUGGGAAAUCAUUGAUGCUCUUCUAAGGUGGCUGGGAAUUUCCAGAGGAGGCUGGUGAGAGAGGGAAAGGUCUCAGGGUGUGGCAGGAGCAGCCCAAGCGGCAGCCAGGUCUUGGGAAGAGUCUGUGCUGACCUUUGUGGGGCAUCACUGGAAAUUCUGUGUUCCUGUGACACCCGGAGGGGUUUGGCAUCCACCCUGGGUCUGUGUGGGAAGAGUUGUUUGGGAGUGAUGUGUCCUCUCCAAAUAAUCCAGCGGGGUUGCGUGGAAGCACACGGAGUGGCAGGAGCCAGGCGUGGGUGCUGCUCCUUCCCAUGCAGCCAGGUGGGUCAGAAGGCACAGCACGCUGUGCUGCUUCAGGGCUUCUGAGGAGACUGCUCUGUGUUUGUCACUGGACCUGUCUUUGUGGGGACAAGUGACUCAGGAUUUCCCAGUGGAACAACUUCAGCUGCUUUUUCAUCUUUUGGAACUUCAGCAGCAAAGUCAGAGGGAAGCAGUAGGCCAGGGAGAGGUGGUUCAUGCUUUGGGGCAGGAGCAGGGAGCAGCCGAGCUAGAGUGAGUUAUAAACCAGAGCAGUUCCUGGGAGUAUCCAGUGGUGGCUGCAGCAGUGCAGGAAAGCACUUCAAGCCUCCUUCGAGCUUGAAAGCCUGAGCUUCCUGUUCAUGUGGCAGUCACCCCAGUCAGCCUCCUCCCUUUGCAGCACGCUGGGCUCAUCCUGCAGAGCCACUGCUGUUCCCAGAGCUCACCUGGCUGAGAGCAGCACGCUCUGCACCAGCUAAGGCUGCACAAACCUGCAGGCAUAGGGGGGAUUCAAUGCUGCUGACCAGGCUGGCUGAAGUCAAACCUGCCCAUUGCUUAUUGACACGUGCCUGCAGCAGGCAGUUGGUAUGUGAGAGUGUAAAUGAGUAACUUGGAGAAACCACAGUCAUGAGCAGGAUUGUCCUUCCUAAAUCACUGAUUUGUGUAUUUUUCAGUGAAAAGUUCCUGAUUUGCCUCUAUCUUUUUGUUCAGAGCAGUCGGGAAUUAAUACUAAAUAUCCACUUAAAAACUACAAAUUGUGUCACACAUGAAGUGGAAAAAUCCAUUGGUGUUGAGACUUUGCCCUUUUGAUGUCCCUAAUCUGAGGACCUCAGAAGUUUGUCCGUUACGAAUUCCCAACGGACGACCACCCUCGGCUGUUAGUGUUGGGCAAUUCCAGCAUUUACAGUGCCUGGUGGUAAAACAUUCAGGGAUUUGUCGAGGUCACAAUCAGAGCUUGUGUCAGACACCAAUGGGGACCAGAACUGCUGAAACCUCUUGUGGUUUCAUUCUCCCGUGUCCUCAGCCCAAGGAGGAGGAGGAGGGCUGGAUGAGCAGCUCUUCAGCAUUUGCACUGUGUCUUGCUGCACAGCCAGCUCUCCUGGGCAGACCUUGCUCUCCCAGUACCUAACUGGGGGUGGAAGCAGCAGAACAGAUAUUUCCAGUUUGUCUGAAGGACAGUAUGCUAUGAGAAAAAAAAACCUUAAACUAUUUAAUAGUUCAGGGGGAUUUUCUUGAGCAUAUAGUUACUCCUGGCUAUUUAUAGUACUGUUAUUUAAAUAUCCCAAAAGAUCCCGUCGUCAGAGGUUUUUUUAUGAUUCCUUUGAAGAACAAACCCAUACUUAUUUGAACAAGUCACAUCAUGAGAGUUGUUUUUGUACCCUUUCCACCCACACAAUCCUGGGAGUGAUUUUCCUUUGAGAGCUUGUUAACCAGAGGAGCAGCCAACUGAAGAGCCCCUGUUGCAAGGCACAAAGGAUUCACACCUGAAAAUCCCAACUCGGGUAGUGGGACAGGCACUUCCCUGCUCUGAGAGGGACCCAGCACUGCACAGCUGCAGGAGGUUGGCUUUGGCACUUCUGUGACACAGGUGGCUCAUCCAUUUGAGCCGUCUGAGUUCAGGUGUUCUGUCCCCUGUCCUUCGAGGGGCCUAAGGGGAGGACAGACGUGUAGAACACAUUUGGUAAUGGCAUAAGUGACCAAGUGCUAUGAGAGGACCUAAGGGAACAGGUAUCUCACCUGGGACAGUGCUGGGGCACCUUCACCAACAGCUCUGAGCUGUCCUGGGCUCGGCCAUGAACAAUUUUCUUUUCCUCCUUGUGCAGUUUUUAGCUCCAGAACAGAAUUCAUUCCCCAAGUUCAAAGAGAGGACAUCAGCGUCCACCACCUUCACCCUGCAGCCCCCAGAAUGACCUUCGCACAACUGGGAGCAGCUCCCACGGCCUGUGGCUGGGACCAGCGGGCUCUCCAGGCUCACACCCUGGGUUUGACAGCACGACCAGGACUGGGGUCACAGAAAG